CUUUUACUCUUGACAGGGUGUGGUAAAUCUCUCCCAGUAUCACCAUGGUACAAGAACCAAUGUGCACAAAUGCUUUUGUGAUAUAGUUUGAUCAUUGAUUCCAUACAACCUGGCAGUGAACAGCAGUGUGUGUCACUAUAAUACAAGAUACAGUAGCACAAUAAAGGGGUGAGGGCCACAGAGGGUGCUAAAAUGGCACAAGGAGAGGCACUGAUCAUGAUGUAAACCGGACCUAAGAAUACUGAAGGAAGGUAAAGCAUAAGGUACAUAAAAUCCCAAAGAUCCUUCAAUAUCAUCAUUCCUGCUAGUGACAGAGCAAUUCCUUCUCCUCCCUUUUCAUCUCAGAGUUUGGAUGUUUUGGAAAGACGCUUUCCCAUGCUUUCAUUAAGGAAAGGUAACACCCACUAAAAAUGGGACAUUGCCUUAGGCUUCUCUAAGCGCCCUAUGCAGGUCUAGCCCUUGCCACCUCUCUGGCUAGACAAACCCAGCAAGGAGAAUCUAUGUGGCCUGUGCAUUGGAUAGAAACAAGAAAGAAACAUAGAUGCAUCGGUGAAGCAGGGACUUCCUGACUAACAAGCCCUGCAAGUUGCAAGUAGACACAGAGAGGAAUAAAAAAAAGAGCAGAGCUCCUACCAAUUUAUGUAAUAUAUUUUACUAAUAUAAAUGUAAAAAUAAAAGUUUGAC